GACGAACGCUGGCGGCGUGCUUAACACAUGCAAGUCGAACGGAAAGGCCCUGCUUUUGUGGGGUGCUCGAGUGGCGAACGGGUGAGUAACACGCGAGUAACCUGCCCUUGACUUUGGGAUAACUUCAGGAAACUGGGGCUAAUAUCGGAUAGGAGCUCCUGCUGCAUGGUGGGGGUUGGAAAGUUUCGGCGGUUGGGGAUGGACUCGCGGCUUAUCAGCUUGUUGGUGGGGUAGUGGCUUACCAAGGCUUUGACGGGUGGCCUGCCUGAUAGGGUGACCGGCCUCAUUACUACAUUGACACGGCCCCGACUCGAGCGGGAGGCAGGAGAGCGGAAUGGUCCACCAUACGCCGAGGCCUAAUGCAGCGACGCCGCGUGCGGGAUGACGGCCUUCGGGUUGUAGAGCGCAUGAGCGUGUAACGGAGAGUGAGUGACGGUAACGGUUAAGGAAGCACCGGCUAACUACGUG
rnacentral:rRNA from 1 species